UUUACAGAACCUGAAUUUUAAAUUUUAUGACGUAGUAUUAUUUGUUUAACUAGAUUUUAACCCGCGGUAUACCGUAGAUCUAUAUUUUAUUUUAGUGUUGACACUAAUUACUUUCGUAAUAUAUAAUUCACAGUUUUAUAAUUAUUUGUUAUUUUUUAUAUU
rnacentral:sRNA from 1 species